rnacentral:rRNA from 1 species
CAAGUGAAUAAGAGCAUAAGGCGGAUGCCUUGGCACUGGGAGCCGACGAAGGACGUGACAAGCUGCGAUAAGCUGCGGGGAGGAGCACAUAUCCAAAGAGCCGCAGAUUUCCGAAUGAGGGAACUCACCUGUUGUAAUGGGCAGGUAUCCAUAAGUGAAUACAUAGCUUAUGAGAAGGAAACCUGGGGAACUGAAACAUCUAAGUACCCGGAGGAAGAGAAAGAAACAUCGAUUUCCUAAGUAGCGGCGAGCGAAAGGGAAAGAGGCCAAACCACUGAUUAAUCAGUGGGGUUGAGGACCACAACGUGAGACAUAUAUAUGGUAGUCGAAGAGAUCUGGAAAGUUCUGACAUAGAGGGUAACAUUCCCGUAGACGAAACUGUGUAUAUACUCUAGUGGCACCAGAGUAGUACCGGACACGUGAAACCCGGUAUGAAGCCGGGGGGCCCACCCCCCAAGCCUAAAUACUACCCAGUGACCGAUAGUGAAGUAGUACCGUGAGGGAAAGGUGAAAAGGACCCCGGGAGGGGAGUGAAAUAGAACCUGAAACCUUAUGCUUACAAGCAGAGGGAGCGCAAGUGACCUCGUACUUUUUGUAGAACGGGCCAACGAGUUAUGGUAUGCAGCGAGGUUAAGAUGUUAAGCAUUGGAGCCGUAGGGAAACCGAGUCUUAAUAGGGCGCCAAGUUGUAUGCUGUAGACCCGAAACCGGGUGACCUAUCCAUGUGCAGGUUGAAGUAACUGUAAAAGGUUAUGGAGGACCGAACUCAUGUCUGUUGAAAAAGGCUGGGAUGACGUGUGGAUAGCGGUGAAAUUCCAAUCGAACUCGGAGAUAGCUGGUUCUCCUCGAAAUAGCUUUAGGGCUAGCCUCAAGGAAAGAUACGCGGGGGUAAAGCACUGAAUGUUCUAGGGGCCUUCACCGGUUACCGAAAACUAUCAAACUCUGAAUACCGCACUAUCAUACUUGGGAGUCAGACUAUGUGAGAUAAGUUUCAUAGUCGAAAGGGAAACAGCCCAGACCAACAGCUAAGGUCCCCAAAUGUAAGUUAAGUGGAAAAGGAUGUGGAGCUGCAUAGACAACUAGGAUGUUGGCUUAGAAGCAGCCACUCAUUUAAAGAGUGCGUAAUAGCUCACUAGUCGAGUGACUCUGCGCCGAAGAUAAACGGGGCUAAAACUUACUACCGAAGCUUUGGAAUACAUAAUGUAUUGGUAGAGGAGCAUCCUAUACCGGGCAGAAGCGCAAUUGUAAGGCUGCGUGGACUGUAUAGGAGAGAGAAUGUUGGCAUGAGUAGCGUAAGGCAGGUGAGAAUCCUGUCCGCCGAAAAUCUAAGGUUUCCUGAGGAAGGUUCGUCCUCUCAGGGUUAGUCGGGGCCUAAGCCGAGAGCGAAAGCUGUAGGCGAUGGACAACAGGUUGA